rfam:Ornithorhynchus anatinus chromosome 5, whole genome shotgun sequence.
GCCUUCUCAUGAUCGUACCUGGAGAGUAUCCAGUACUGUACCAGUCUCGGCUAUGGGAGGGAGAGUCAAGCAGAGGCCUACCCAUUCCAUUGCUAGCUUGGGCAGUGGUUAGCGAGUGGAAGGCCAUCUGCUACAAGU